rnacentral:rRNA from 1 species
UUUACCCGCUGAAUUUAAGCAUAUCAAUAAGCGGAGGAAAAGAAACCAACCGGGAUUGCCCUAGUAACGGCGAGUGAAGCGGCAAGAGCUCAAAUUUGAAAGCUGGCUCCUUCGGGGUCCGCAUUGUAAUUUGCAGAGGAUGCUUCGGGAGCGGUCCCCAUCUAAGUGCCCUGGAACGGGCCGUCAUAGAGGGUGAGAAUCCCGUCUGGGAUGGGGUGCCCGCGCCCGUGUGAAGCUCCUUCGACGAGUCGAGUUGUUUGGGAAUGCAGCUCUAAUUGGGUGGUAAAUUUCAUCUAAAGCUAAAUAUUGGCCGGAGACCGAUAGCGCACAAGUAGAGUGAUCGAAAGAUGAAAAGCACUUUGAAAAGAGAGUUAAACAGCACGUGAAAUUGUUGAAAGGGAAGCGCUUGCGAUCAGACUCGCCCGCGGGGUUCAGCCGGCAUUCGUGCCGGUGUACUUCCCCGUGGGCGGGCCAGCGUCGGUUUGGGCGGCCGGUCAAAGGCCCCUGGAAUGUAACGCCUCUCGGGGCGUCUUAUAGCCAGGGGUGCCAUGCGGCCUGCCCGGACCGAGGAACGCGCUUCGGCUCGGACGCUGGCAUAAUGGUCGUAAGCGACCCGUCUUGAAACACGGACCAAGGAGUCUAACAUCUACGCGAGUGUUCGGGUGUCAAACCCGUGCGCGCAGUGAAAGCGAACGGAGGUGGGAACCCCCCGGGGUGCACCAUCGACCGAUCCUGAUGUCUUCGGAUGGAUUUGAGUAAGAGCGUAGCUGUUGGGACCCGAAAGAUGGUGAACUAUGCCUGAAUAGGGCGAAGCCAGAGGAACUCCUUUUAAUGAGGCCCG